CCAGACACUAAGCUUUGGAGACAAAGAAAAUAGGAAGGAACAUGGAAAGUCAAAUCUUGUGGCCAUCUAGCACGGAAAAAUUCAAGUACCUGUUCCCAAAGAAGAAUCGAUCAAGGGAUUAACUCUAAAAUAUCCUGGUUAGUUAAAUUAUACCCCCCUUCAUCAUCCCAUAAAAUCAUUCCUUUCUUUUUUUUUCUUUUUUAUAGUGAAAUAUUCGAAAUGCAGAAAAUCUGGUGUCCAGUAGAAAACAACUGCAGCUAGAGGGCAAAGUGGAUAGAAGGCUGGACUUGGAGUCAAGGAAAUCUGAGUUCUAAUCCAUCCUCAGUUCUGGUGAAAAUGUGAUCCCAGCAUCUAUCAUCUAGAGUACCUCCUGAGUGGAAAAGGGAUUAAGCUUUGAACUAAUUGGUGAUGUGUAUAGCUAAACAGAUGACCAGCCCUGGAGCAGAGAAGCCACUUUCCCCAGCAUGUUGGCAGAGAUCUGAAAAAACAGAGCAAAAGGAAUGGAAUCUCUCAUGCAAUCAUUUUCCUGCCUUGGGCUUAUAUUGGAGCAACCUCCUUUUACAAGCUUCAAUGACUUUGGUUCACUGGGUCUUGGUUUUGAGGAUUGUAUGGUCAUUCUCCUUUGUAGUAUUUUUUCCUACCUGGCUGCAGUUUGGUGGUAUUCUAACAAAAAUGGAGUAUGCCAGUUGCCUCUUACAAAUUAGAGUCAACAUUGAUGAAAGAAAGAAGCCUUCUAAAGGAAAUGAUGGCUGGAAUGAAUAUGGGGAAGUAUGGAAAGACAUAUAAUCUGAUGCAAAGUGAAAUAAACUGAACCAGAAAAAGUCUAUACGCA
rnacentral:lncRNA from 1 species